GCAAACUUGGUCAUUUAGAGGAAGUAAAAGUCGUAACAAGGUCUCCGUUGGUGAACCAGCGGAGGGAUCAUUACCGAGUUUUCAACUCCCAAACCCCUGUGAACAUACCAUUAUGUUGCCUCGGCGGAUCACCGCGCCCCGUUGACGGGACGGCCCGCCAGAGGACCCCCAAACCCCCAUGUAUCCAUGUGUGUCCUCUGAGUAAAACCAUGAAUAAAUAAAAACUUUCAACAACGGAUCUCUUGGUUCUGGCAUCGAUGAAGAACGCAGC
rnacentral:misc_RNA from 1 species